AAUAACGGAAGGAAAAGAAACUUACCAAGGAUUCCCCUAGUAACUGCGAGUAAAGCGGGAANAGCUCAAAUUUAAAAUCUGGCGCCCUUGUGAACGUCCGAGUUGUAGUCUGAAAAAGUGUUAUCCGCGUCGGACCGUGCACAAGUCUCCUGGAACGGAGCGUCAUAGAGGGUGAGAAUCCCGUCCAUGGCACGGACGCCCGAUGCUUAUGCGAGGCACUCUCAAAGAGUCGAGUUGUUUGGGAAUGCAGCUCAAAAUGGGUGGUAAAUUCCAUCUAAAGCUAAAUAUUGGCGAGAGACCGAUAGCGAACAAGUACCGUGAGGGAAAGAUGAAAAGCACUUUGGAAAGAGAGUUAAACAGUACGUGAAAUUGUUGAAAGGGAAACGCUCGAAGUCAGUCGCGUCCCGUGGAACUCAGCCUGGUUUCGGCCUGGUGUACUUUCCAUUGCGGGACGGGUCAACGUCAAUUUCGGCCGGUGGACAAGGGCGAGGGGAAUGUAGCGUUGCUUCGGCGACGUGUUAUAGCCCCGCGUCGUAUACGCCGGCCGGGAUUGAGGACCGCAGCACGCCCUUGUGGCCGGGGGGGUUCGCGCCCCCCACGUAACGUGCUUAGGAUGUUGGCAUAAGGCUUUAAAAUGG
rnacentral:rRNA from 1 species